AUGGCCCUGAUCAAGUCUGUCAGUUUGUUGUAGCUGACGGUUUCAAACAGGAGCCAAGAUGAAAAUCUUCCCAUGGUCUGUUGGUUUCCCCCAAGUCUCCCAAGGGGAUAGUCAAUUCAGUUGGAAGAAACAAAA